rnacentral:tRNA from 1 species
GGUUGUGGCUCAGUGGUAGUGUGCUUGCCUAGCAUGCAUGAGGCACUGGGUUCAAUCCUCAGCACCA